GGACUACCGGGGUAUCUAAUCCUGUUUGCUCCCCUAGCUUUCGUGCCUCAGUGUCAGGAGUCGUCCAGGGACUCGCCUUCGCCACUGGUGUUCCUCUCGAUAUCUACGCAUUUCACUGCUACACCGAGAAUUCCAGUCCCCCCUCCGACCCUCUAGCGACGCAGUUUCCAAUGCAGUUUCGGAGUUAAGCUCCGAGAUUUCACAUCCGACUUACGCCACCACCUACGCACCCUUUACGCCCAGUGAAUCCGAACAACGCUUGGGACCUCUGUAUUACCGCGGCGGCUGGCAC
rnacentral:rRNA from 2 species